rnacentral:rRNA from 1 species
UACGAGGGGGGCGAGCGUUGUUCGGAAUUAUUGGGCGUAAAGAGCUCGUAGGCGGUCUGUCGCGUCGGCUGUGAAAACCCGGAGCUCAACUCCGGGCCUGCAGUCGAUACGGGCAGACUGGAGUUCGGCAGGGGAGACUGGAAUUCCUGGUGUAGCGGUGAAAUGCGCAGAUAUCAGGAGGAACACCGGUGGCGAAGGCGGGUCUCUGGGCCGAUACUGACGCUGAGGAGCGAAAGCGUGGGGAGCGAACAGG